UACGUAGGGUGCAAGCGUUAAUCGGAAUUACUGGGCGUAAAGCGUGCGCAGGCGGUCUUGCAAGACAGAUGUGAAAUCCCUCGGCUUAACCGGGGAACUGCGUCCGAUACUGGAGGGCUUGAGUGUGGGAGAGGGAUGCGGAAUUCCAGGUGUAGCGGUGAAAUGCGUAGAUAUCAGGAGGAACACCGGUGGCGAAGGCGGCUCUCUGGGCAUUACCUGACGCUGAGGAGCGAAAGUGUGGGGAGCGAACAGG
rnacentral:rRNA from 1 species